AACGAACGCUGGCGGCAGGCUUAACACAUGCAAGUCGAACGCCCCGCAAGGGGAGUGGCAGACGGGUGAGUAACGCGUGGGAACAUACCCUUUCCUGCGGAAUAGCUCCGGGAAACUGGAAUUAAUACCGCAUACGCCCUACGGGGGAAAGAUUUAUCGGGGAAGGAUUGGCCCGCGUUGGAUUAGCUAGUUGGUGGGGUAAAGGCCUACCAAGGCGACGAUCCAUAGCUGGUCUGAGAGGAUGAUCAGCCACAUUGGGACUGAGACACGGCCCAAACUCCUACGGGAGGCAGCAGUGGGGAAUAUUGGACAAUGGGGGCAAGCCUGAUCCAGCCAUGCCGCGUGAGUGAUGAAGGCCUUAGGGUUGUAAAGCUCUUUCACCGAUGAAGAUAAUGACGGUAGUCGGAGAAGAAGCCCCGGCUAACUUCGUG
rnacentral:rRNA from 1 species